GACGAACGCUGGCGGCGUGCCUAAUACAUGCAAGUCGACCUUAGUGGCGAACAGGUGAGUAGCACGUGGGUAACCUGCCCGUCAGACGGGGAUAACACUUGGAAACAAGUGCUAAUACCGUAUACUGAUGUAUGGACCCGCGGUGCAUUAUCUCGUUGGUGAGGUAACGGCGCACCAAGUCAACGAUGCAUAGCCGGCCUGCGAGGGUGAUCGGCCACAUUGGGACUGAGACACGGCCCAAACUCAUACGGGAGGCAGCAGUAGGUAAUCUUCGGCAAGGGACGAAAGUCUGACCGAGCAACGCCGCGUGAGUGAAGAAGGUUUUCGGAUCGUAAAACUCUGUUGUUAGAGAAGCGGUAUCUAACCAGAAAGCCCCGGCUAACUACGUGCCAGCAGCCGCGGUAAUUC
rnacentral:rRNA from 1 species